rnacentral:lncRNA from 1 species
UAGCAAGGUACAAGAAGAGCGUCUCCAAGUAGUAGUUGCUCUUUGUUGAUAUCUAGUAGUACUUUAGAUUAUUCCUGUGAAAUCAACCAUUGUCAUUUAAGUCAUACUCCCAUUGUCUAGGUAACAAAUAAUCCGCAGCAAAACAUGGCAAGUUAAAUUGAUAAUGAAUUUCUUACCCUAACCAGAGUUUAUUCCAAGAUCCAAAUUGUCUAACUCUAACUUAACUCUACACAUAUCGACCUGACAUUAAGUGAAUUUAAGAGAUUUAUUUCAACACCAUACAAACCAAAUCUUAGGAAAAGAGAAAGAAAAGGUUCUUCUUACUAUUAUCUAGCCAUUAAUCCACCAAAGUAUAUUGCGUAACUAAAUCAAGAAGGAGAGACACACUAAACCGAGAAGCAAUUAUCCAGGGACGAAGGAGAGUACUGAUCAGCUUGGCCUUUGUGUCGUUUGAGAUUGAGCGACGGCGUCACGGUUCUAAGAAAACUCUCAAUUGCUUUUAAUGUUGUUACAAGAAACAAAUAGUCAAAAACAAAAAUCUCUUAAUUGCUUUUAAUGUUGUUCUUCUUCUUCGUUGACGCCUACCUAAGCUUAAAAGAUCAAAAACAAAAGAUCCAUUUUUACCAAAUGUGUGCAGUAAUUAAAGACACAAACACAAAACCACGUGAUCAAUAAUCACUAAAGAGAAAAUCAAUUAUUCACCUUUGCUUCCUUCUUCUUCAUCGUUCUCCUCUUUACCAUCUUCAGCAAUUUCAAGUUUUUUCGAAAGUUUCUCCUUUCCACUUGAUGAUUUCAGCGCUGCCAUUCUCCACCACGGAACCUACAACAACAUCUUUAAUCGAUUCUCAAUUUAAUAACAAAUACUAACCAAAACUCCAACAAAUAAACCUUAAUUGAUGAGAAUCGCAGAAAUAGCUACACACCAAAGAAGAAGUAAACGGUAACCUUUUGAUAGAGAGCACAUUGAAAUCAAAAGAAUCCCGAGUAAAGAACAACAACUAACUCAAAAGAUAAAAAAAACUCUAAUUUCACUUAUUAUAUCAAGUAAAAGCAACGACCAAUCCUAAAUGUUCCAAACAAAAAAUCAUCUGAUUAAUUAUAGAUAUCGAUCUAUUUGUAAUUAUUGAAGGGUCAUGCUUGUAGAAUAUUGACUUGAUUUCUAAUUUCACAAAUGAAUUCCCAAACCCAACGAACCUGGAAUUGAAAUCCACAAAUCAACCAAUUUUAAUUUGUUAUAGGGAUUUCCUAAAAUUGUCUAUGUUUCUCGUAAUGGCUUUGUGUUUAAUUGGUCGUAAUCGAGUUGUGUAAGUGAGGGUACGCGAGAUUUAAGCUAUGACAUUGGAGAAGAUAGAUGAGAGUUGCAGAGAUAAGCCAUCGUUCGCCCUAAAAUUCUCUCCCAGGCACGAGAACCAAGGAGCCGCUCCUCUUGACGAAAUGAGCUUCUUCUUCCGGCGUUGCUCCUCCGACAACGUCCUCUCCUGAUCGGUGCUUGCUGCUAAGGGGAGAUCUCUCAGGUGGACCUCUUUGUCCGGUGACGGACCUGUUUUUCCGGCGAGUUUUUUUUCACCUAAGAUGACGUUCUCUCCUCUGUCGACUUCGAGCCGCUCUAGUUGCUUACCGAUGUCUUCGGUUGCUUUCCUCAAUCUGAGGCCCACUCGUGCACCACCGCCGCAGCCUCCGUCUCCGCCGACUCCACCAGACCCGCAGAUCUGCCUCUCCUUUGGUGAAUCUCUUUCUCAACCGCCGAGCUUCACUUCCUUCAGCGCGUUUGACUCACUCCUCCAACUCUCCUCCGCCAGAACUAGCUUUCCAACGACGGCGAGUGUUUCUCACCUGCCAACAAAGGUGCCCCUCACCGUUGGUUGGCAGCCUCCCGACGAGUCUCCUUUUGCAAUCUGUUUUGGAGAUCUUGAUGCUCGUCACUGCCCAACCUCUUCAACCAUAGCCUACUUCAGUGAUGGUUGUCAUCUCGUCGACGCCCACACCUUCCCUCCUCAGACAUUCCCCCAAGUAUGCUCUAGCUCUAGCUCUAGCUCUUCACCCUCUAAUUCUUUUAGGAUGGAAAGAAUUAUUUGGAUGUUCGUUGAGUUUUUGGCUUUGGUUUUGUGGAACUCUGAUCUAGCUUAUUCAGUUUUGAUGGGCUUGGAUACUCUUGUGUCUACUUUUGUGCUCUCUUGUAGCACUCUUAUCGCUUUGAUGCGAUCACUUACUGCAGUAUGCAGAGUUUAUCUCGAUUUUGCUUUGUUACAAGUUGUUUCGUGGCAGCUUGGACAAAGAUGUUUGAGUAUUGACAACAACCGACCAGUUCACCUGGGUCAUUGGGGCUUUCACAGCCCUCAUCUCUCCUCUAAGGAGCUUAUUAUCCUCCCAAAUACUUCACUUGUGUUUAGUGGUAUUGUUGCAGGGAGCAUUGUGUUGAAGACUGUUCUACUUGAUGUAGAAGCGAGGAUCAUUGUUCAAGAUUGUUCUCGUUCAGCUUUUGCUGACUGUUUGGCGUCAGGACCUAUGGAGGCUUUGUUUUCUCCUCCUUGUGGUUUCAACAAGGUCUUCCAAUCUAAAGAUGUUUGCUUUGUUGGAUGCUCUUGGUUGGAUGCCUCUUUGGUAGAACUUUUUAGUUCACCUUUAUCCCAAAGUCUCAUUUUGAGCUUUGUUGUUGCUGUUAGCUUUUACUCUUUCUCGACCUCUAUGUAUGCCGUUGUCUCGGUUUAUCCGGCUCUUUGUAGCCUUGUAUCCUCUCUUAGUAGAGGUUAAACUCAUUUCUAUUAUAUGAUAUGUUUAGUUUGUCCAAAAAAAAAGAUGAGAGUUGCAGAGAUGGAGAAAAGUUGUAAAAAUUGAGAGAGAGAGAGAGAGAGAGAGAGAGAGAGAGAGAGAGAGAGAGAGAGAGAGAGAGAGAGAGAGAGAGAGCAAUGAGAGCGGGGAGAGAGAUGGAGCAGAGUUGCAGAGCUUUGAUGGAGAGAGAAACCGAGAGAUGAAACGAAU